AAAGCAUAGCAGUGUGAACAGACAACACAGAGUUACACAUGGAGUAAACAAUUAACAAGUCAAUAACACAGUAGAAGAAAAGGGGAGUCUAUAUACAUUGUGUGCAAAAGGCAUGAGGAGGUAGGCGAAUAAUUACAAUUUUGCAGAUUAACACUGAAGUGAUAAAUGAUCAGAUGGUCAUGUACAGGUAUUGGUGUGCAAAAGAGCAGAAAAGUAAAUAAAUAAAAACAGUAUGGAGGUGAGGUAGGUAAAAAUGGGUGGGCUAUUUACCGAUAGACUAUGUACAGCUGCAGCGUACGGUUAGCUGCUCAGAUAGCAGAUGUUUGAAGUUGGUGAGGGAGAUAAAAGUCUCCAACUUCAGCGAUUUUUGCAAUUCGUUCCAGUCACAGGCAGCAGAGAACUGGAACGAAAGGCGGCCAAAUGAGAUGUUGGCUUUAGGGAUGAUCAGUGAGAUACACCUGCUGGAGCUCGUGCUACGAAUGGGUGUUGCCAUCGUGACCAGUGAACUGAGAUAAGGCGGAGCUUUACCUAGCAUGGACUUGUAGAUGACCUGGAGCCAGUGGGUCUGGCGACGAAUAUGUAGCGAGGGCCAGCCGACUAGAGCAUACAGGUCGCAGUGGUGGGUGGUAUAAGGUGCUUUAGUGACAAAAUGGAUGGCACUGUGAUAAACUGCAUCCAGUUUGCUGAGUAGAGUGUUGGAAGCAAUUUUGUAGAUGACAUUGCCGAAGUCGAGGAUCGGUAGGAUAGUCAGUUUUACUAGGGUAAGUUUGGCGGCGUGAGUGAAGGAGGCUUUGUUGCGAAAUAGAAAGCCGACUCUAGAUUUGAUUUUCGAUCUGAGAUGUUUGAUAUGAGUCUGGAAGGAGAGUUUACAGUCUAGCCAGACACCUAGGUACUUAUAGAUGUCCACAUAUUCAAGGUCGGAACCAUCCAGGGUGGUGAUGCUGGUCAGGCAGCGAACGGUUGAAAAGCAUGCAUUUGGUUUUACUAGCGUUUAAGAGCAGUUGGAGGCCACGGAAGGAGUGUUGUAUGGCAUUGAAGCUCGUUUGGAGGUUAGAUAGCACAGUGCCCAAGGACGGGCCGGAAGUAUAUAGAAUGGUGUCGUCUGUAGAGGUGGAUCAGGGAAUCGCCCGCAACAAGAGCAACAUCAUUGAUAUAUACAGAGAAAAGAGUCGGCCCGAGGAUUGAACCCUGUGGCACCCCCAUAGAGACUGCCAAAUAAAUGUGGGCAGGAUGAGCAUUAAGCUUAUGUUGGCAGAGAUGCAUAGUCCAGGUGUUAUCUAUCUGGGAAUGUCAGUUUUCACGUGACUCCAAACAGGACGGUCAGAAACUACAAUAUUUAUGCUUUUAGUUCCAUAUAGCAUGCAUCAGAUCUGGGCCCGUAUUCACAAAGCAUCUCAGAGUAGGAGUGCUGAUCUAGGAUCAGCUUUGCCUUUUAGAUCACAAUGAAUAAGAUUACAUGGACAGGGGGGACCUGAACUUAAAUCAGCGCUCCUACUCUGAGACGGGACCUGAUUCCUGUACUGUAGCUUGUGGUAUGCAUACUGUGUGUGUACGAGCCCAUGUGUGUGGCCCUGUUGGGAUUGUAUAUUUGAAUAUCUAUGGCUCAAGUUUUCAAACGCAGCAUACUGUUACACUUUCUGUAUUUUGACUGUUCUACAUCUUGAAUACUUGAUCACUGACAAAACAUUUUGGGACUGUAUCAAAAGUGAAGUAAUGAAAUGGAAUUUUCCUUUACCCUUGCAGGUGUCCUCGUUAAAACAACAUAACUUUCACGUGUGAACGAUUGCUAUUGAGGAUUUAUACUGUCAGUGACUAUUUAGCGUAAUUGUGCUUCUUUGGUUCUUCAAACAAAUAAGGCUCAUUGCAGUAUCAUGGUGUCAUGGUGCUAAUUUACUAUGCAUUUCUUCUGUUCGGCCGGCAGUUCUACUGCUCAUAUCCUGGGGUCAGUGCAGCCCCUCUUCUCCCUUCCCUUUAAACCCUGACCCCUGACUCAUGGAGAAGUCAGAAACCCACUCAGUACCAAUCAAAGGACAGGCUGACUUGCUUUAUAUGACUUUCACAGACAGAAAGUCAGUGUAUUGUAUUUUUUUUAAUGAUCAAAUCCAAUACCAUCUGUAGUAGACUACCAGGGUGAUGAGUUAGCAUCAGAUGAGCACUCAUACAGAUAAUAUCAAUGAUAUUCCUCUGCUGAUGACACCCAGCUAUAUGUGAAAACCAGUGGAGGCUCCUCAGAGAAGGAAGGGGAGGACCAUCCCCCUCUGUGAUUUAUAUGUGAUAAAUAUUUUUUAAAGUUAUCCUUUUUAGAUAAAUCUAUACCAACUAUACGUAUUCACAUCACCAAAUACAGCGCAUUCGGAAAGUAUUCAGACCCGUUCCCUUUUUCAACAUUCUGUUAUGUUACAGGUUUAUUAUCAAAUCUACACUACACAAAAUACGCCAUAAGGACAAAGCGAAAACACGUUUUUAUAAAUGUUUGAAAAUGUAUAAAAAUCCAAAUCAGAAAUACCUUAUUUACAUUAGUAUUUAAACCCUUUGCUAUGAGACUCAAAAUUGAGCUCAGGUGCAUCCUGUUUCCAUUGAUCAUCCUUGAGAUGUUUCUACAACUGGAUUGGAGACCACCUGUGUUAAAUUACAUUUAUUGGGCAUGAUUUGGAAAGGCACACACCUGUCUAUAUAAGGUCCCACAGUUGACAGUGCAUGUCAGAGCAAAAGCAAAGCCAUGAGGUCAAAUAAAUUGUCCGUAGAGCACCGAGACAGGAUUGUGUCGAGGCACAGAUCUGGGAAAGGGUAACAAAACAUUUCUGCAGCAUUGAAGGUCCCCAAGAACACAGUGGCCUCCAUCAUUCUUAAAUGGGAGAAGUUUGGACCACCAAGUCUCUUCCUAGAGCUGGCCUCCCGGCUAAACUGAGCAAUCGGGGAAGAAGGGUCUUGGUCAGGGCCAUAGCACUCCACCAAUCAGGCCUUUAUGGUAGAUUGGCCAGACGGAAGCCACUCCUCAGUAAAAGGCACAUGACAGCCCGCUGACGUUUUGAACACUGAAGUCCACAAGCGAAGGGAAAAGGUGAGAGGAGGAGAGCAUAUGGAUGCGAGAAGGAAUUAUACAACGAUCAAGGGAUCAUGCUGUUUCUAUGUGGCUUCUAUGAAAGUGAACUGUGUUUGCAUGUGAUCAGGGCUGUAUUCAUCCCUCCGAUUCUGUUGAAAAACGUUUCUUAAACGGAAGCAAACAGAACAAAACGGGGAUAAACAUAACCUGAAUUUGUCCAAAAGAAACUCAUUUGAAACUGUUGGACUAAUGAUUACACCCUAGAUCAGCUAGAUGCAGGCAAAAGUGUGCAAGGCGGUAUUGAAUGUGCCAAAGUCUGUCACCUUGACUACAAAAUGUAUCUCGACCUGUGCACCUACGUUGAAAAACUUUCAUUCAUAGGCUAGGUUGUAGCAACCUCACGAAGGGUAUAGGGAAAACUAGAGUAUCAUGUAGUAGCCUAAACUUAUCGAUGUUACAUUGAGCUGGAUGAAUGUAAUAUAAAUGACAGUCACCCAAUAUGCUGUAAUAGAAAUAAGGCCAUGCCCAUAAUAUUUUUAUUUUUUUAAAUGUGUAUCGUCCUCCCUCAUCUUAAACAACCCUGAUCGCCACUGGUUAAAACUGCCCCAAGUCUCUCUGCUGCCUGUGCUCGUCGAAACAUCUGCCUUAAGGAGAUAAGAGCUUGGAUGAAGAAAAACUCCCUUCAACUUAAUAGCCGCAAAACCGAGGCUCUACCCCUCACAGGUCCAUUGUAUCAUUUCAAAUCCAAAGUGCUGGAGUACAGAGCCAAAACAACAAAAUAUGUGCCCCAAUAAUUGUGACGCUCACUGUAGACGUGUUCCUUGUUGUGUUUGUAGCGUCAGCUCUGCUUUUUGAUGUUUGUCCCUUUGUUCUUUGUUUCAGGUACCCUGUCUACUUGUUCUUUGUUUCAGGUACCCUGUCUACUUGUUCUUUGUUUCAGGUACCCUGUCUACUUGUUCUUUGUUUCAGGUACCCUGUCUACUUGUUCUUUGUUUCAGGUACCCUGUCUACUUGUUCUUUGUUUCAGGUACCCUGUCUACUUGUUCUUUGUUUCAGGUACCCUGUCUACUUGUUCUUUGUUUCAGGUACCCUGUCUACUUGUUCUUUGUUUCAGGUACCCUGUCUACUUGUUCUUUGUUUCAGGUACCCUGUCUACUUGUUCUUUGUUUCAGGUACCCUGUCUACUUGUUCUUUGUUUCAGGUACCCUGUCUACUUGUGCCCUUGUUUUGUGGUUUUUUAUUUGAUUUAUUUUAACACACUCACUGUGCAUUAUACAUUCAGGGUAUUAUUAUUAUGGAGUGGCUGAGGAUCCAACUUUUCUCAGACCUUUUUUUCCGAACGUUAAAGGUCCCGAAGCUCCUGCGCAUGUGUUAACUCUCUCCUUAUGUGCUCUCCGUGCUCUACUUUUAGAGAACUAUUGUGAAUGUUGCUCGUUUAAUAAAGAUAGAUGAAAGAUGAAUCAAUGUCUGCAAGAUCCCAUGAGGAUAGUACAAUACAUAAAAUAAAAUAAUAUAAUAGCAUUGCGUUACUGUAAGACAACAAACACCACCACAUUUUCCUCUCAUGUGGCUAAAACUCAACAGGUCAUUCCGCUAGGCAAAAUAAAAAGGUCGGCUCUGUAGGCUACUACGAAACCACACUGUAUAGUAUAACUAAAGAAGAUCUAAGCGCAUAUCCCAAUGAAACUGAUUUGAGAUCAAAUGGUUGGUAUGCAGACGCUGCAUGGACGUUUCACCAGUAAAACGCUGCCAGUCGUGAAUUAUCAUUCACACCUGGCAGCGAGAAAUGUGAAGGGAAGGAGACCAGAAUAAUAUGUGCAUAACGUAGAGGUAAAGAAACACAUGCACUCAGGAAAAAAAGGUCAGGGAAAAGUCAGCUCCGCAGCCACAGCCUUAUUUACUAUUAGUAGUAGCAGUUGGAUUAGAAUUAUUUGAAAGGAAUCACAGACACACUGCCAUCUUGUUCCUGGCUUUAAACUAACCUACUGUAGUGGACAAAGGCUGUUGGGUUUAUAGAGGAGCAGACAGGAUCACUAUGUUGACGUUCUGCUAAAAGUCCCAGAAUCCCCUGAGGAUGUCCUGUGAUGACAUCAUGAGAGUUCCACCGGAGCCAGUCUGACCGGGGGUCUUAUCAGUCCAGGAGGGGAGACCAGUACACAUUUGCCUCUACGGUCAGCCAGGGGGUCAUUGACACAUACCUGCUGUCAGUGGAUACAGAGGGAUGUGUUGGCUCAUUUUUGAAUGACUAACUUGUACGUAUUCACCACCACAGGACGCAAACACACAGGCCGAUAAUAUCAACAGAUUUCUCAGAAUCUCACAUGGACACGCGUCCUCCACUCUUGCCUGUGUUAGAACGAGUAGAACUUACAUGGCCAGCGCAGACAGGAAAUGGUUCUGGGUUCCGAAGUUAUAUCAGACCCACAUACAGCUCGUAGUUAUAGAACAUUUGCUGAAAGGACAAAUGCCUUUUAUUUUCCCAUAAUGACUGUCGCUCCAUGGGUACACUUUACAUUGGAAUUUUCAGAAGAGUAAAAGUAUUUCUCCUGUUCAAACAUGCAGGCCUUGAUAACAUCCACUGAGCU